rnacentral:lncRNA from 1 species
AGGGAGUACCAAAUACCGCAGUUGCCUAUGAUGCAUUGAGGUCCUAUUCUUAUGAGAUCCUAUGAUAUAUGAACACUGAAAAUUUUACGUUCCCGAUGUGAAGCAUCCCUGAGAACUGAAAUGUGGGAGAAUAUAAAUGAAUGGGAAACAUCCAUCAGUGUACUUAGGAUCAUAAGCUGCAACAAGAAUUUGUUUAGGCUUUUGACAUGAGUAGCGGCCUAUAGAUAGCUUUGCUCUUUGGUUAAUUUGGUGGUAUACCACAAGGCUAUGGCUUAAUGGUUUUGCAUGUGAACAUGAGUUUCAUUAAUGCAAAACAGGUGGUUCUAAUAUACCUUAUUUUUCAAGAGGCUGUCAGGCUAUGGACUCUGCCACUGCUUUCUUUGCUGCUUAUUGGUCAAUGGUUUGCUGCGUGAACCUUUUGAUGUAGUGUCUGGCCUAUUAGUUGGUUUGUUGUGUGAACCUUUUGAUGUAGUGUCUGGCCUAUUAGUUGUACCCUUGACCUUGCAGUAUGUAUUCACUACCAAGCCACAAGCAUCUUCAAUAUAUGAAAGCCACAAGUAUUUUUCUUUUUCUAUGCUUACUAAU